GGGCUCACACAAGCGGUGGAGGAUGUGGCUUAAUUCGAGGCUACGCGAAGAACCUUAUCCAGGCCUUGACAUAGUUGGAUGCUGCCGGUGAAAGUCGGUUAGUUGCCUUCGGGUGAAACUUCUACAGGUGCUGCAUGGCUGUCGUCAGCUCGUGUCGUGAGAUGUCGGGUUAAGUCCCUUAACGAGCGAAACCCUUGUCUUCAGUUGCCAGCGUGUAAUGGCGGGGACUCUGAAGAGACUGCCGGUGUUAAACCGGAGGAAGGUGGGGAUGACGUCAAGUCCUCAUGGCCUUUAUGGCCUGGGCUGCACACGUCCUACAAUGCUACGGACAAAGGGCAGCAAGUUCGCGAGGACAAG
rnacentral:rRNA from 1 species